rnacentral:rRNA from 1 species
UACGUAGGUGGCGAGCGUUGUCCGGAUUUAUUGGGCGUAAAGAGCUCGUAGGCGGCUUGUUGCGUCGGCUGUGAAAUCCCGUGGCUUAACUGCGGGUCUGCAGCCGAUACGGGCAGGCUGGAGUUCGGUAGGGGAGACUGGAAUUCCUGGUGUAGCGGUGAAAUGCGCAGAUAUCAGGAGGAACACCGGCGGUGUAGACGGCUCUCUGGACCGUAACUGACGCUGAGAUACGAAAGCGUGGGUAGCAAACAGG